ACAACAAAAGUAUAGAUAACCCCCCCCCCCAAUGGUUUGUUCCAGCUCUCCGGCUCUCUAGUGCCGUUGCUGCCAGAGCGAUGGUGGCUGAGACGGAGGUGGAGUGCCCGGCUUAAAACAGGACAUAUUAGCUGGAUUUAACCUUCAGUUACUCUUUAUAUAGUUAGGUAGGAGUCAGACCAUGUUUCUUUUAGCUGAAAAACAUUACACCAGAGAGACAGACAGGUUCAUAAUGGAUAUGAGGAAGUUAUUUCCAAAACAAAAAAAGGAGCCACAUUCAGUCCAAAGAGGGAGAGAGGAAAGAGGGAACGUGAGGAGAAAGUACAAGGUCAGGAAGAACCAGGUAAGAAAACAGACAGGGAACAGUGACAGGCAAAACAGAAACUAUUAAACUGACAAAGAGAAAAAACCUGAUUUUACUCCUACAGUCUGGAAGUUGUGUCUCCCUAUAUUAAAGCUGCUAUACAGAAUCUGCAAAACAAACUGGGUUGAAACAUUUUUGACCCUCUUUAACAACAUUCCAACAUAACAUUAUCAUUGAUUGGGGAGAUUAAAAUCAAUGAUAUAUUUUUAUGUGGUUCAGCCACAACUCUACUAAAACCUCAGCCAGUAAUAGGUAGGCCAACUUUUGGACCGUCCAGUUGUCUGUAUGACUGCCACAGUACGUGCGCCACGUUUCAGAA
ensembl:lncRNA